rnacentral:rRNA from 1 species
CAAUACGGAAGGUACACGAGUGGCGCACGGGUGCGUAACGCGUAUGUAAUCUGCCCUUGACCGGAACAAAACAGCUGGAAACGGCUGCUAAUAUUCCAUGGUCAUUUUCGGAGGCAUCUCUGGGGAUGUAAAGAUUUAUUGGUCAAGGAUGAGCAUGCGUAUUAUUAGAUAGUUGGUGGGGUAACGGCCCACCAAGUCGACGAUGAUUAGGGGUUCUGAGAGGAUUAACCCCCACACUGGAACUGAGACACGGUCCAGACUCCUACGGGAGGCAGCAGUAGGGAAUAUUGGGCAAUGGAAGGAAUUCUGACCCAGCCAUGCCGCGUGAAGGAAGACGGUCCUAUGGAUUGUAAACUUCUUUUAUCGCAGAGUAAAUUGGGGCACGUGUGCCCCAUUGAGAGUAUGCGAUGAAUAAGUAUCGGCUAACUCCGUGCCAGCAGCCGCGGUAAUACGGAGGAUACGAGCGUUAUCCGGAUUUAUUGGGUUUAAAGGGUGCGCAGGCGGAUCGGUAAGUCAGGGGUGAAAAGUUCGUGCUUAACAUGAAUCGUGCCUUUGAUACUGCCGGACUGGAGUGCAAUAGACGUGGGCGGAAUGUGAUGUGUAGCGGUGAAAUGCUUAGAUAUGUCACAGAACACCGAUCGAGAAGUCAGCUCACGAGUUUGCAACUGACGCUCCUGCACGAAAGCGUGGGGAUCAAACAGGAUUAGAUACCCUGGUAGUCCACGCUGUAAACGAUGAUCACUCGUUGUUGGCCGGCGACGGUCAGUGGCCAAGCGAAAGCGAUAAGUGAUCCACCUGGGGAGUACGAUCGCAAGGUUGAAACUCAAAGGAAUUGACGGGGGCCCGCACAAGCGGAGGAGCAUGUGGUUUAAUUCGAUGUUACGCGAGGAACCUUACCCGGGCUUGAACGUAAGACGACGACGCAGGAGACUGCGUUUCCUUCGGGCGUUUUGCGAGGUGCUGCAUGGUUGUCGUCAGCUCGUGCCGUGAGGUGUUAGGUUAAGUCCUGCAACGAGCGCAACCCUUACUUUUAGUUGCCAGCAUGUAAAGAUGGGGACUCU